UCAAACUUGGUCAUUUAGAGGAAGUAAAAGUCGUAACAAGGUUUCCGUAGGUGAACCUGCGGAAGGAUCAUUAUUAAAAAUCGGUUUUUUAAUUAAAACUCCUUUUAAUCCUAUGCUUAACUACUUUGUUUGUUAUUAAAAAAAAAACUCUUUAUAAAAUAUAGUCUGAUAAAAUUAAUUAAAAAUUUAAUUAAAACUUUCAACAACGGAUCUCUUGGUUCUGGCAUCGAUGAAGAACGCAGC
rnacentral:misc_RNA from 1 species